rnacentral:lncRNA from 1 species
GUCUGUAAAAUCCAGCAACUAAGGAGGCUGAGGCAUUUCGAGGCCAGCCUCAGCAAUUUAGUGAGACCCUGACUCAAAAUAAAAAAGGCUGGGGAUGUUGCUCAAUGGUAGCGUGCCCCUGGGUCCAAUCUCCAAUUAAAAACAAGAAGAACAAAAGAAAUGGUAUAUUGAAAAAUAUUGUCUGAAGAUUUAGCUGGAUUUUUAAAUGUUUCAGAAAUGCAUCUUUCUCUUAUAGCUUGUGACAGCAUUUUCUCUGGGGAAAAAAAAAUGGCUCCAUCCAGAUCAUCCUCUACUCUUCCACCAGGCUUGUUUGUUCCAUGCUAGGCAUUGUUGAGUGCCUGGCAUGUUGCACAGAAUCACAGAAACUCAAGUUGCUGUCCUGAUGGAGUUUUACAUUCUGGUAAAAGAGAGAGACACGGGGUGGGGUGUUAUGGUUUAGAUGUAGUGUCUCCCAAAAGCUCACAUGUGAAACAAUUGAAGUUUCAUAGAAAUGACUGGGUUAGGAGAGCCUUAACGCAAUCAGUGCAUCAAUCACCUGAUGGGAUUAAUUUAGUGGUAACUGAAGGCAGGUGGGGUGUGGCUAGAGGAGGUGGGGCAUUGGAGCCUGGCUUUGGAGUAUAUAUAUUUGUAUCUGAAGAGUGGAGUCUCUCUCUGCUUUGUGGUCAUCAUGUGAGCUUCUUCCCUCUGCCACACUAUCCUGCCCUGAUGUUCAGCCUCACCUUGAGCCCCCAGGAAUGGAGCAAGCCUUCUAUGGACUAAGACCUCUGAAACCGUGAGCCCUUG